rnacentral:rRNA from 1 species
UACGUAGGGCGCAAGCGUUGUCCGGAAUUAUUGGGCGUAAAGAGCUCGUAGGCGGUUUGUCGCGUCUGUCGUGAAAGCUUGGGGCUUAAUCCCAAGUCUGCGGUGGAUACGGGCAGACUAGAGGCAGGUAGGGGAGAACGGAAUUCCCGGUGUAGCGGUGAAAUGCGCAGAUAUCGGGAGGAACACCGGUGGCGAAGGCGGUUCUCUGGGCCUGUACUGACGCUGAGGAGCGAAAGCGUGGGGAGCGAACAGG